rnacentral:rRNA from 1 species
AUUGAACGCUAGCGGGAUGCUUUACACAUGCAAGUCGAACGGCAGCGCGGACUUCGGUCUAGCGGCGAGUGGCGAACAGGUGAGUAAUGUAUCGGAACGUGCCCAGUAGCGGGGGAUAACUACGCGAAAGCGUAGCUAAUACCGCAUACGCCCUACGGGGGAAAGCAGGGGAUCGUAAGACCUUGCACUAUUGGAGCGGCCGAUAUCGGAUUAGCUAGUUGGUGAGGUAACGGCUCACCAAGGCGACGAUCCGUAGCUGGUUUGAGAGGACGACCAGCCACACUGGGACUGAGACACGGCCCAGACUCCGACGGGAGGCAGCAGUGGGGAAUUUUGGACAAUGGGGGCAACCCUGAUCCAGCCAUCCCGCGUGUGCGAUGAAGGCCUUCGGGUUGUAAAGCACUUUUGGCAGGAAAGAAACGUCGCGGGCUAAUACCCCGUGGAACUGACGGUACCUGCAGAAUAAGCACCGGCUAACUACGUG